rnacentral:rRNA from 1 species
GAUCCUGCUCAGGAUGAACGCUAGCUACAGGCUUAACACAUGCAAGUCGAGGGGCAGCAUGGUCUUAGCUUGCUAAGGCUGAUGGCGACCGGCGCACGGGUGAGUAACACGUAUCCAACCUGCCGUCUACUCUUGGCCAGCCUUCUGAAAGGAAGAUUAAUCCAGGAUGGGAUCAUGAGUUCACAUGUCCGCAUGAUUAAAGGUNUUUCCGGUUAGACGAUGGGG